UACGUAGGGACCGAGCGUUAUCCGGAUUUAUUGGGCGUAAAGCGCGUGUAGGCGGCCACACAGGUCCGUUGUGAAAACUCGAGGCUUAACCUCGAGACGUCGAUGGAAACCGUAUGGCUAGAGUCCGGAAGAGGAGAGUGGAAUUCCUGGUGUAGCGGUGAAAUGCGCAGAUAUCAGGAAGAACACCCGUGGCGAAGGCGGCUCUCUGGGACGGUACUGACGCUGAGACGCGAAAGCGUGGGGAGCGAACAGG
rnacentral:rRNA from 1 species